rnacentral:siRNA from 1 species
AUCCCGCCAUUUAACCGUGGUCAU